rnacentral:rRNA from 2 species
UAGGCUGCCGUUAUCGUACCGUGCAGUCGACGAUGAAGCCAGCUUGCUCGUGGAUUAGUAGGCGAACGGGUGAGUAACACGUGAGUAACCUGCCCUUGACUCUGGGAUAAGCCUGGGAAACUGGGUCUAAUACCGGAUAUGACCUUCCAUCGCAUGGUGGUUGGUGGAAAGCUUUUGUGGUUUUGGAUGGACUCGCGGCCUAUCAGCUUGUUGGUGGGGUAAUGGCCUACCAAGGCGACGACGGGUAGCCGGCCUGAGAGGGUGACCGGCCACACUGGGACUGAGACACGGCCCAGACUCCUACGGGAGGCAGCAGUGGGGAAUAUUGCACAAUGGGCGCAAGCCUGAUGCAGCGACGCCGCGUGAGGGAUGACGGCCUUCGGGUUGUAAACCUCUUUCAGUAGGGAAGAAGCGUAAGUGACGGUACCUGCAGAAGAAGCGCCGGCUAACUACGUGCCAGCAGCCGCGGUAAUACGUAGGGCGCAAGCGUUAUCCGGAAUUAUUGGGCGUAAAGAGCUCGUAGGCGGUUUGUCGCGUCUGCCGUGAAAGUCCGGGGCUCAACUCCGGAUCUGCGGUGGGUACGGGCAGACUAGAGUGAUGUAUGGGAGACUGGAAUUCCUGGUGUAUCGGUGAAAUGCGCACAUAUCAGGAGGAACACCGAUGGCGAAGGCAGGUCUCUGGGCAUUAACUGACGCUGAGGAGCGAAAGCAUGGGGAGCGAACAGGAUUAGAUACCCUGGUAGUCCAUGCCGUAAACGUUGGGCACUAGGUGUGGGGGACAUUCCACGUUUUCCGCGCCGUAGCUAACGCAUUAAGUGCCCCGCCUGGGGAGUACGGCCGCAAGGCUAAAACUCACAGGAAUUGACGGGGGCCCGCACAAGCGGCGGAGCAUGCGGAUUAAUUCGAUGCAACGCGAAGAACCUUACCAAGGCUUGACAUGAACCGGACCGGGCUGGAAACAGUCUUUCCCCUUGUGGGCUGGUUUACAGGUGGUGCAUGGUU